UCCUUGGUAGCUCAGACGGUAAAGUGUCUGCCUGCAGUGUGGGAGACCCAGGUUCGAUCCCUGGGUUGGGAA
rnacentral:tRNA from 1 species